rnacentral:rRNA from 1 species
UACGAAGGGGGCUAGCGUUGUUCGGAAUUACUGGGCGUAAAGCGCACGUAGGCGGAUAUUUAAGUCAGGGGUGAAAUCCCAGAGCUCAACUCUGGAACUGCCUUUGAUACUAGGUAUCUUGAGUAUGGAAGAGGUGAGUGGAGUUCCGAGUGUAGAGGUGAAAUUCGUAGAUAUUCGGAGGAACACCAGUGGCGAAGGCGGCUCACUGGUCCAUUACUGACGCUGAGGUGCGAAAGCGUGGGGAGCAAACAGGG